rnacentral:rRNA from 1 species
GACAGAGGGGGCAAGCGUUGCUCGGAAUUACUGGGCGUAAAGGGCUCGUAGGUGGCCAACUAAGUCAGACGUGAAAUCCCUCGGCUUAACCGGGGAACUGCGUCUGAUACUGGAUGGCUUGAGUUUGGGAGAGGAAUGCGGAAUUCCAGGUGUAGCGGUGAAAUGCGUAGAUAUCUGGAGGAACACCGGUGGCGAAGGCGGCAUCCUGGACCGGUAUUGACGCUGAGGCGCGAAAGCCAGGGGAGCAAACGGG